GACAGAGGAUGCAAGCGUUAUCCGGAAUGAUUGGGCGUAAAGCGUCUGUAGGUGGCUUCUUAAGUCCGCUGUCAAAUCCCAGGGCUUAACCCUGGCCAGGCGGUGGAGACUACUAAGCUUGAGUACGGUAGGGGCAGAGGGAAUUUCCGGUGGAGCGGUGAAAUGCGUAGAGAUCGGAAAGAACACCAACGGCGAAAGCACUCUGCUGGGCCGACACUGACACUGAGAGACGAAAGCUAGGGGAGCGAAUGGG
rnacentral:rRNA from 1 species